rnacentral:rRNA from 1 species
AUGCUUACAGCGUAUUACGCUGGUGGUGACACGGCAAACGUCCCGUGGCAAGCUUCACAAAUUGCAGGUGGAGCACGACAUUUUGGUGUCACAGACCACACAAGAUGGCCAAAUGCAGCACAACAAGAACCUACAACUACAGUGAACAGCGGUGCGGGGACAUCUACUGCGGGGAGCUCUGAGCACACGGAAGACGCGUUCCACCAGCCAGCAGACUGUCAUGCCGCAAACAAUUUCGAGUCAGAGUCGGGAAUGGCAAUCAUUCCAGCAAUGCCGACGAGCACCCCUUUGAACACAAGCACUAGCAACACUCGAGUAGAUGGAACUGCCGCCGAUACUGAAGCGAAUGAUGAAACUGACGACGACGCACAAGAGGAUGAAGAUGGUGGGCAAUCCGAGAUCGUGGUACCUCAGCCACCAUACAUUGGGCAGAGAUUUGGAUCGUUCGCAGAAGCAAAGGAAUACUACCAGGCAUACGCAAAGUUCCAUGGAUUUGCGGUCAACACCGAGUACCAUAGGAAAAUUAAGAAAACUAAUGAGUACAGCAGAGGUGAGAUGAGGUGCCACAAGGCACGGAGGAACAAGAAGAGGAAAGGUGUUGCGCCUGUCGUUCCGGAACGAAAGAGAGGCAUCAUUCUCAAGACGGGGUGCCCUGUCCGGUGUAAGCUAAACGUAGAUGGAGCAACAUGGGUGGUCAAUGAGUAUUUUGACGAGCACAACCACGAACUCAUAAAGAAGUUCGACCUGGUGAAAUUUCUAACCGCCCACAGAGGGUUCACCCCCGUCGAAAGGAAAUUCGUAAAGCUGCUACAUGAUUGUAACGUCGGUCCAUCAAGAAUGGUACAGAUACUAUCUCUCAUCCACAGCAAAAAGGGGACUCUGAGUAGCAUGCCGUACAUACCAGCUGACGUCACAAACCUACAGGCCAAGUACCGUAGAGAGAGCAAGUUGGCAGACAUAGAGGCCACAAUAGCCUACUUCGAUGCGAAAGCAAAGGAAGAUCCAGAUUUCUUCUACAGGAUAAGGUUGGACGAUGAGGACCGUGUCAGGAACAUGUAUUGGGUGGAUGGUGCUGCAAGGAGAGCCUACAAACAUUUCUGA